rnacentral:rRNA from 1 species
UGGGGAAUUUUGGACAAUGGGGGAAACCCUGAUCCAGCCAUCCCGCGUGUGCGAUGAAGGCCUUCGGGUUGUAAAGCACUUUUGGCAGGAAAGAAACGUCAUGGGUUAAUACCCCGUGAAACUGACGGUACCUGCAGAAUAAGCACCGGCUAACUACGUGCCAGCAGCCGCGGUAAUACGUAGGGUGCAAGCGUUAAUCGGAAUUACUGGGCGUAAAGCGUGCGCAGGCGGUUCGGAAAGAAAGAUGUGAAAUCCCAGAGCUCAACUUUGGAACUGCAUUUUUAACUACCGGGCUAGAGUGUGUCAGAGGGAGGUGGAAUUCCGCGUGUAGCAGUGAAAUGCGUAGAUAUGCGGAGGAACACCGAUGGCGAAGGCAGCCUCCUGGGAUAACACUGACGCUCAAGCACGAAAGCGUGGGGAGCAAACAGG